UGCAUUCACUACUGUAAGUCACUCUGGAUAAGAGCGUCCGCUAAAUGACUAAAA
rfam:Salmo salar isolate Sally breed double haploid chromosome ssa13, whole genome shotgun sequence.